rnacentral:rRNA from 1 species
UACGUAGGGGGCUGGCGUUGUCCGGAAUCAUUGGGCGUAAAGCGCGUGUAGGCGGCCCGGUAAGUCCGCUGUGAAAGUCGGGGGCUCAACCCUCGGAUGCCGGUGGAUACUGUCGGGCUAGAGUGCGGGAGAGGCGAGUGGAAUUCCUGGUGUAGCGGUGAAAUGCGCAGAUAUCAGGAGGAACACCAAUUGCGAAGGCAGCUCGCUGGAACGUAACUGACGCUGAGACGCGAAAGCGUGGGGAGCAAACAGG